rnacentral:lncRNA from 1 species
GUGGCAGAAGGAAACUGGCUCUAGGCCAGGUGUGGUGGCUCAAGCCUAUAAUCCCAGCACUCUGAAAGGCCGACGUGGUAGGAUCGCUUGAGCCCAGGAGGUUGAGGCUGCAAUGAGCUGUGAUUGUACUACCACACCCCAGUCUGGGUGACAGAGUGAGUGAGACCCUGUCUCAAAAAAAAAAAAAAAAAAGGUCUAGAAGGUCCAGAAGAGAUUUCAGGAAAGAAGACAGGCACAUCGGAGACACCAAAGGAGCAUCAUCUGCAUUGCAUGGAACAAGCACGUAGGACGAGCAGACACGGGGGAGAAACUUCCGUACCCUCUUCCUGUGUCCCUACAAAAGCCUGGACAAUGCAGUCCCAGCCCUGCUGCAGAACAUGGGCAGGCCCCACCUUCCUCCUUCCUGCGGGGAUAUCCUUUCCUAUAGAAGAGGUUUACGUGCCUAGGAUAGAGAAUUAGUUGGCCCAGAUGAGCGUCAUGUGCCUGCUCUAGAGGCCAUGAGGUUGGAGUCUUGGGAGCGGCUGCAGAGCAGAGCCUCACAUGGAAGGUAGGAGGUAGAUCAAAGAAAUGGCUACCAAGCAGAUGUCCACUGCCUUCCAGCAUAGUGGUCACUUUUCUUAGAUACCUGUCCAUUGGAUACAGCAAUUCUGCUCCCUAGAUAAAUCUCUGUAAAAUGUGUCCAUGGACUCAGUUUUCUUGUCUUCAUGGGUUCCACCUAAAUGGGUCUCACCUACUUAAAAUGUCUCCCUAUUUUGCCCAGGCUGGGCUCGAACUCACAUCCUCCCACCUUAGCCUCCCCAGUAGCUGCUCAAAGAAGACAGGCACUCUCAGGGCCUCCUGACAUGAUCUAUGCACUCCUUGCCUAGCAUAUCCCACUACAUCUUUUCAUACAUUUGUUUCUUAUUUUCUAGCUCAUGAAUAAAACAUAUGUCUACUUUACAUUUGAAAAAGUUAUGUUUUCACUGAACCCAAAUUCCUUAUUUUCUGUAAACCCACAUUUGGAUGACUUUGUUGUGGCUGAUGCUCUUCACUGUCUACCCAGUGACCACUCAGGGCUGCCACUCACUCAGACCCAGGGAUG